rnacentral:rRNA from 1 species
AGUGAACGCUGGCGGUAGGCCUAACACAUGCAAGUCGAACGGAAACACAGUAAGCUCUUGCUCUUAAGGGUGGCGGGUGGCGGGCGGGUGAGGCAUACAUAGGCUUCUACUUUUUCGUGGGUGAUAACGGAGGGCCACUUCCGAUAAUACCGCAUAUGACCUACGGGUGGAAUCAGGGGAUCUUCAGACCUUUCGCGAUAGUUUGAGCCGAUGCCGGAUUAGAUAGUUGGGAGGGUAAAGGCCCACCUAGGCAACGAUUCGUAGCCGGUCUGAGAGGGUGGUCCGCCAAACUGGAACUGGGACACGGUCCAGACUCCUAAGGGAGGCAGCAGUAGGGAAUCUUGCGCAAUGGGCGAAAGCCUGACGCAGCCAAGCCGCGUGAGUGAAGAAGGUCUUCGGAUUGUAAAACUCUGUUAUUAGGGAAGAAAAAAUGUGGAAGUAACUCCGCACGUUUUGACGGUACCCAAACAGAAAGCCACGGCUAACUACGUG